rnacentral:rRNA from 1 species
GAUGAACGCUGGCGGCGUGCCUAUUACAUGCAAGUCGAGCGAACGGACGAGAAGCUUGCUUCUCUGAUGUUAGCGGCGGACGGGUGAGUAACACGUGGAUAACCUACCUAUAAGACUGGGAUAACUUCGGGAAACCGGAGCUAAUACCGGAUAAUAUUUUGAACCGCAUGGUUCAAAAGUGAAAGACGGCCUUGCUGUCACUUAUAGAUGGAUCCGCGCUGCAUUAGCUAGUUGGUAAGGUAACGGCUUACCAAGGCAACGAUGCAUAGCCGACCUGAGAGGGUGAUCGGCCACACUGGAACUGAGACACGGUCCAGACUCCUACGGGAGGCAGCAGUAGGGAAUCUUCCGCAAUGGGCGAAAGCCUGACGGAGCAACGCCGCGUGAGUGAUGAAGGUCUUCGGAUCGUAAAACUCUGUUAUUAGGGAAGAACAUAUGUGUAAGUAACUGUGCACAUCUUGACGGUACCUAAUCAGAAAGCCACGGCUAACUACGUG